rnacentral:snRNA from 1 species
GGCAUAUGAGUGAUCUGGCUACAAGACCUGCCUGCAACUGCAUAGCCUGCCAGGUUUGAGCUAGCUGAACUGGUUGUGUAGGCUGAUGUUCCUGCCCUCCCUGGAUGUGCCAUGUGCAUCCUUUCUGGAGCUGCACAGUUGGGUGAAGAAAAUGGUCUAUUAAAGGAGGACAUUCUUCAGUCAAUGGUAUAGGGGUGUACCUUUGCUCUUCUGCUUAACCCUCUAAAGAGCUUGGGAUAUUUUGAAGAUCUACCUUGCUUAGUUAAAGGAACUUUUCUUGGAAACAGAUAUUUU